rnacentral:rRNA from 2 species
UACGGAGGGUGCAAGCGUUAAUCGGAAUUACUGGGCGUAAAGCGCUCGUAGGCGGUUUGUUAAGUCGGAUGUGAAAGCCCCGGGCUCAACCUGGGAACUGCAUUCGAUACUGGCAAACUAGAGUAUAGAAGAGGCAAGUGGAAUUCCGGGUGUAGCGGUGAAAUGCGUAGAUAUCCGGAGGAACAUCAGUGGCGAAGGCGACUUGCUGGUCUAAUACUGACGCUGAGGAGCGAAAGCGUGGGGAGCAAACGGG